rnacentral:rRNA from 1 species
GAUGAACGCUGGCGGCGUGCCUAAUACAUGCAAGUCGAGCGAACAGAUGAGGAGCUGGCUCCUCUGACGUUAUCGGCGGACGGGUGAGUAACACGUGGAUAACCUACCUAUAAGACUGGGAUAACUUCGGGAAACCGGAGCUAAUACCGGAUAAUAUAUUGAACCGCAUGGUUCAAUAGUGAAAGACGGUUUUGCUGUCACUUAUAGAUUGAUCCGCGCCGCAUUAGCUAGUUGGUAAGGUAACGGCUUAGCAAGGCGACGAUGCGUAGCCGACCUGAGAGGGUCAUUGGCUAGCCUGUAUGUGAGGAACGGUCCAGACUCCUAGGGUGGGCCGCAGUAGGGACUCUUACGCGAAGGGCGAGAGCGUGACGGAGCAACGUGGCCUGAGUGAUGAAGGUCUUAUGAUCGUAAAACUCUGUAAUUAGGGAAGAACAAAUGUGUAAGUAACCAUGCUCGUAUUGACGGUACCUAGAGAGAAAGCCCCGGCUAACUCCGUG